rnacentral:lncRNA from 1 species
AUUUUCUGAAAGGAAUGAAGUGGCUUACAGUCAGCAACCCCCUCCACAGAUAUAACCAUUUCCUGUAUAAAAAGGAGGACAGAGCAGAGAGGAGAGGCAGGCUGGAUGAUGUGACUCCUCAUUUUAGAAGCUGCACAUCUGGAUGCUUACAUGACUGAAUCAUUCCACUAUUUCUCUGUUAGGUGGCAGAAGUUUAUUUCUGUCAGGGAUUUGUGUCAUGAAACAAAUACUGUGGCUUGCUUAUCAUGUCCGGGGAGAGCUUUCCAGGCAGGCUACUGUGAGAAGCCCCUGCCAUGAUCCUGAAAUAUCUUACCAAGGACAGAGCGAUGGAGGAGGUUUGCCUUCCUUACAGUCCAAGGCAGUUGGUGUUAGGGAUCACAGAACAGCAACCAGAUGGAUGGAGGCAGUGUGCCUUCCUGUGUUUGCCAGGAAACUUUGCUCUGUCUUGGGCAAUCCAGGUGUUUGACAACUCCAGAUAAGAGAUUAUGAAAAUACUAAGGGACUUGUACUAACAGAUUUUUGCAAUACAUCAGCAUGGAAGCACCAAAUAACUGUGUUAGUGGAAUUCAGAUGCAAGUUCUGCAGGAAGAAAAAAAGAAUCUGCUGAGUAACAGUCUGUCAGAUAUGUUAACUGAGAGUGACAACACGAUGUGAUCUGCAAAAAGAGACAAUAAAGACAUUCUACUUACAAAGCA